rnacentral:rRNA from 1 species
UGGGGAAUUUUGGACAAUGGGGGAAACCCUGAUCCAGCCAUCCCGCGUGUGCGAUGAAGGCCUUCGGGUUGUAAAGCACUUUUGGCAGGAAAGAAACGUCAUGGGUUAAUACCCCGUGAAACUGACGGUACCUGCAGAAUAAGCACCGGCUAACUACGUGCCAGCAGCCGCGGUAAUACGUAGGGUGCAAGCGUUAAUCGGAAUUACUGGGCGUAAAGCGUGCGCAGGCGGUUCGGAAAGAAAGAUGUGAAAUCCCAGAGCUCAACUUUGGAACUGCCUUUUUAACUACCGGGCUAGAGUGUGUCAGAGGGGGGUGGAAUUCCGCGUGUAGCAGUGAAAUGCGUAGAUAUGCGGAGGAACACCGAUGGCGAAGGCAGCCUCCUGGGAUAACACUGACGCUCAUGCACGAAAGCGUGGGGAGCAAACAGG